CUUAGGCAUUUGGCCUGGAGUUACCACCGAAAUUGAUAUGAAGCAUUCAUGUUUGCAAAGAUAUUUUUAAAAAUCCGUUCAGUAUAUAUAAAGGAUGUUCAGAACUGAAAAUUAAGUGUGAGGUUUCACAUGAACAUCUUCAAUAGUCUUCCAGGCAGGAAGUGGGCAGAUGGAGACAGUGAUGUGCUAGUAAAUAUUUAACAACUGACAGGGAUUGCCAGAGAACCCUGAUUGAUAGCAUUUGUCAAUUUCCAUGCUGUAGGAUUCUCCCAGAAUGACCAAUUUCAGGCAGCCAACAUGAUGUCAGCUAGCUUGCAAAAUUCCAAAAAAGAGAGCAGUUGACUCUUGGGAGCUAGAAUGAGCUCGCCCUGACACACUCCUGAACGGAGACAAAAUACCAGGAAAUGGAGAGAGCCCCUAAGGCAACAAAGCGGGACAGGAAGUGGUCUGCGGCAUGAAGCAAUCACAUAGCAAACCUCCUGUACCUGACCACUCACCUGGUGAUUCUCCUGCUGCUGGGCAGCUAGAGGCUGGGCAGUGGGGGGCAUGCCUGGACCUGAGGCAGCUCUGCAGGUGAAAGCAGACAGCUUCCCAGCUGAGGGUGGCGGAUACACCCCUGGAUCCCCUUGUGUAUGAUGCCCCAGCCUGGGAGAGGUGAAGCAUCAGCAUCCAAUCAUUAG